rnacentral:tRNA from 2 species
CGGCAUGUGGUGUAGCGGUAGCACGUGGCCCUGUGACGGCCCAGGUGAGGGGUUCGACUCCCCCCGCGCCGC